GUAACAAUGGUGCUUGCCCAGAUGACGAGUGGCGCACGGGUGCGUAACGCGUAUGCAACCUACCUUUUACUAGAGUAUAGCCCAGAGAAAUUUGGAUUAAUCCUCUAUAACAUCUUUUAAUUUCAUGAUUAUAAGAUUAAAGUUUUAACGGUAAAAGAUGGGCAUGCGUCCUAUUAGUUUGUAGGUGAGGUAACGGCUCACCUAGACUACGAUAGGUAGGGGCCCUGAGAGGGGGAUCCCCACACUGGUACUGAGACACGGACCAGACUCCUACGGGAGGCAGCAGUAAGGAAUAUUGGACAAUGGACGAAAGUCUGAUCCAGCCAUGCCGCGUGCAGGAUGACAGCCCUACGGGUUGUAAACUGCUUUUAUACAGGAAGAAACACUCCGACGUGUCGGAGCUUGACGGCACUGUAAGAAUAAGGAUCGGCUAACUCCGUGCCAGCAGCCGCGGUAAUACGGAGGAUCCAAGCGUUAUCCGGAAUCAUUGGGUUUAAAGGGUCCGCAGGCUGUUUUUUAAGUCAGAGGUGAAAUCCUACAGCUCAACUGUAGAACUGCCUUUGAUACUGGAAAACUUGAGUUAUUGUGAAGUGGUUAGAAUGUGUGGUGUAGCGGUGAAAUGCAUAGAUAUCACACAGAAUACCGAUUGCGAAGGCAGAUCACUAACAAUAUACUGACGCUCAUGGACGAAAGCGUGGGGAGCGAACAGGAUUAGAUACCCUGGUAGUCCACGCCGUAAACGAUGGAUACUAGCUGUUCGUCUAACAUUGGUUAGAUGAGUGGCUAAGCGAAAGUGAUAAGUAUCCCAC
rnacentral:rRNA from 1 species